ACAAUUAACCAAGCAAGCAAAGCUGCGUGAGUGGAUGCAGAGGCUCGACUUCGGCGGUCUUGCCAUCUACGCUCGCACAUACGUACGUACAUACACCUCGUCGAAUGUGGACGAUGUUGAAUUGAGGCACCGCUUCAUGCAGCGAGGAGUGAGGGUGAGGGAUGGAAAAAGGCUUAAAAGGGAUAUUUACUCCGGGGCUGUGAAUGCUGGCGUGUGUUAAGGCAGGGGGCUCUAGCGGUGUGGGGGUUGCUCGGGAGUUAUAUGGACUUUAAGUUCGAUGGUCUGGUUUGCCGCCAGGCGGUGGCGGAGGGAGGUUCAUGUGCCCAUACAUCCAGGGGGAAACCGUAGAUCCAGCAGCCGUUGGUCGUACCAUACGACGGGCAUAUGAACACAGAUGGCUACGACGCUAUCCAUGUGAGCGCGACGAAGUACGACAUCCUCAUAAUUUCAUGUCCAUCAUAUUUCGGGCGGGCAUAUAAACAACUAUAAAAGUUUUGUUGAGCGCCCACCAAUUUAAAUGUUUUAACUUGCUGGCAUGAUGCUUAACGCGGAUGACCAUGUCGGAUGGAAAAGCAGGUUGCGGGGAGUGCACGGUACACGGAAAUUAACUAAUUGGUCUGGCAGAAACAUGCUUUUGCCGUAGGGAGAUAUUGGUCCCGUCUGCCCGUCUGCUGCUCCAUAUCGCCGCUUCACACAGUCCACAUGCCUUACCGUUUGGAGGAGCCAGCUGCGCGGGGCCGGUUUUCUGCGGAUUGCCACAAUAUGUUCGGACCAUUAUUUGAUGGUAGCUUUAAUGAGGAUGCGGGAAGCUGCCGGCUAGUGAUGUGUUUUGAACGAGCGUCAUUGAGCCCUGGCGGCUGCUUUUAAAACGAAUGCGUAAACGACAGUCAGUCGAGGUGGUUGAUUGCAUGAUCCAGAAAGAGCGGAAUGGUGCAAACGCCGGUUUAGUUUGUUUCAUAUAUCACGUCCCGGACUCCCGGUCUUGGCUAACGAACAACUGUAAGCCCGUCACUAUCGAAGAUCGAACGCGCGCACGAUAGCGCACACUAGGCAUUUUGCUUGUCUUGGUAUCCGAUGUAAAUACUCGCACAUAUCUAACUGGUUUUACGUUGCUCUAGACUACGAAGAAUCAAGCCCUUCCUCCCGGCAGGAUGUCCUGUUCACUCACGCAAGCUAUUACGAUUCAGAGUCCGAAUGUUGUGUAACCUUGAAGAAGAUUUCUGUGGCUUCAAUUGCCUGAACCCUUUCCAACGCGAGUCUCGG
rnacentral:lncRNA from 1 species